UAGGGAAUCUUCCGCAAUGGACGAAAGUCUGACGGAGCAACGCCGCGUGAGUGAAGAAGGAUUUCGGUUCGUAAAACUCUGUUGUUAGGGUAGAAAAAAUGUAUAGUAACUAUAUACAAAAGAGACGGUACCUAACCAGAAAGCCACGGCUAACUACGUGCCAGCAGCCGCGGUAAUACGUAGGUGGCAAGCGUUGUCCGGAAUUAUUGGGCGUAAAGCGCGCGCAGGUGGUUUAGAAAGUCUGAUGUGAAAGCCCACGGCUCAACCGUGGAGGGUCAUUGGAAACUAAUAAACUUGAGUGCAGGAGAGAAAAGUGGAAUUCCUAGUGUAGCGGUGAAAUGCGUAGAGAUUAGGAGGAACACCGGUGGCGAAAGCGGCUUUUUGGCCUGCAACUGACACUGAGGCGCGAAAGCGUGGGGAGCAAACAGG
rnacentral:rRNA from 1 species